rnacentral:rRNA from 1 species
UACGUAGGGUGCAAGCGUUGUCCGGAAUUAUUGGGCGUAAAGAGCUCGUAGGCGGCUUGUCACGUCGGGUGUGAAAACUCAGGGCUUAACCCUGAGCUUGCAGUGGGUACGGGCAGACUAGAGUGCGGUAGGGGAGACUGGAAUUCCUGGUGUAGCGGUGAAAUGCGCAGAUAUCAGGAGGAACACCGGUGGCGAAGGCGGGUCUCUGGGCCGUAACUGACGCUGAGGAGCGAAAGCAUGGGGAGCGAACAGG